CACUUUUUCCCAAAGGUUCUACUUGACUGUCCGGUUGGCAGUUAAUCAGCUAUGCCUAAUUCGGUAAAGAGGAAAUAAUCUCUCUUGACUCCUGUUUGUUAUUGUGCUACCCAAACAACUAGGGUUUAAACCCUAAAUAAUUCUAAUCAUGUCUGGGAUGUACGGUCAAGAUGGCGGUGGUGGCUACGGAGGUGGCGGAGGUUAUGGAGGAAGGGGCGGAGGAGGAGGAUUCGGCGGUCGAGGUGGCGGGGGUGGUUAUCAUGGUGGAGACCGCGGCGGACGAGGUGGCGGCUGUGGCGGUCGCGGCGGUGGUGGAGGUGGUAGAGAUGGAGAUUGGCGUUGUCCAAACCCAAGUUGUGGAAACUUGAACUUUGCGAAAAGGGUUGAAUGCAACAAAUGUGGUGCUCCAUGUCCUACUGGGUCUAAUGAUCGCGGCGGUGGAGGUGGUGGUUAUAAUAGAGGGGGAAGUGGUGGGGGAUAUGCAAAUAUUCGUGGGGGAAGCAGUGGUAGGGGUCAUUACAGUGAUGGUAGGGGUGGGGGAGGCAGUAGGGGUGGUUCAUACGCUGGUAAUCAAGCCAGAGACGAUGGUGUAUAUGGCCAAGUCCCUCCUCCUGCGGCUCAAUAUGGUGGUGGAGGAAACUAUCCAUCCAAUUACAAUUCUUAUGGUGGGGAUGCGAGUUAUGGAACCGAUGCUGUUCCUCCUCCUGCAAGCUACACUGGUGGCCCUACAUCAUAUCCUCCAUCAUAUGGGGGUCAUAGUGGUGCUGGGAAUAAUCUUGGGGAUGGGCGUGCUGGUGUUAGGGCUGGGCAACCUGGUGCAUAUGACAGUGGGUAUGGUGCUGGUGGUCGAGGUGGGUAUGGUGGAGCUCCUGCUGACCCCCCAGCUAAGGUGAAGCAGUGCGAUGAGAAUUGUGAUGAUUCUUGUGACAACUCUAGAAUCUACAUAUCAAACUUACCACCAGAUGUGACUAUUGAUGAAUUGAGGGAACUUUUUGGAGGCAUUGGACAAGUUGGAAGAAUAAAGCAGAAAAGGGGCUAUAAAGAUCAGUGGCCUUGGAACAUAAAAAUAUACACUGAUGAGAACGGAAACAACAAGGGUGAUGCUGCCCUUGCUUAUGAAGAUCCAUCUGCAGCACAUUCUGCAGGCGGUUUUUACAAUAAUUAUGAUUUAAGGGGCUACAAAAUCAAUGUUAUGAUGGCAGAAAAAUCUGCACCACGGGCUCCACCUGCAUACAACCAUGGAGGCAACAGGGGUGGCUAUGGUGGAGAUAGACGCCGAGACAAUUAUGGAGGUGGUUCUGGACCUGAUAGGCGUGAUAAUUAUGGUGGGAACCGUUCGCGUCCAUACUGAGAGUUUCCGAAGUGAACCUUUUAUGUACUAAGAUUUGUUGUCUGAGGGAUUUGUUGUAUACGCUGGAAUCUUGAAAUGGAAGCAAAGAGGUAGGUUGUUCACUUACUCUGAGCAAGAGACCUCUUUGCUAUUUUCUCAUGUGACUCGCUGGUAGGUUUUUCUCCUUUAGGCAGGGAUUAAUUUGAUAGUGUGCAUGUUUUUAUAGAGGCAAGUGGAUAGUCUUCAAAUGGCUUGCUGCUAUGUAGGUUGAUUGUUUCAGCCCUGUUUGUAUGAACUCGAAAACAAUCACUAUUGACACUUGGAAAUGGUCACCAGAAGAGGAAGAUUUGGUGGCAAGGAGUACGAAGAAAGUAAAAAUUUAGGUUCUAGGCAAUGGAGAAGAACUGAUGGAAGAAGAAACUCAAAAAGUAGAAGCAACGGAAGUAAUGAUGGGUGAUGCUAUACCCACGUUCAAGAACAAUUUAGAGUCCGAUGCUGUUGUUUUGAAGGAGCUUAAGACGUCCUAUAAGGACAGAUUGCUAGAUGAUGGGAUUGGAAAGCUGAAUCUGGAACAAAUUGUUGAGAUGGUGGUUGAAGAUUACAUCUCUGAUAAAGAGCUUAUGAAUCACGGAGAAAAGAACCAGACUCCCUUCAAUCCAUAUACAAUCCUAGACGUCUCACUUGAGGAAUAUGAUGAAUGGUGUAGACCUUGGAAACAAGCCCUUAUAAUUAAAUCUUUCGAAAAGUUUAACCUACUGAUCAUGGAAAAAUGGAUUAGUAGGUGAUGGACUAGGAAGGAAGCUGUCCGCGUUGUGGAUCUAGAUGAAAUUUUUUUGGUUUGGUUCUUUAACCAAGAAGAUUACACGCAUGCAUUCUUCGAAGGUCCAUGGAUCAUUGCAAAUCACUACAUGCUAGUCUAGAGAUGGAAGCCACUGUUUACCCCACAGGAGACUGAAGUCCAGAAGGUUGCAGUAUGGGUUAAGAUCCCUAAUUUUCUGGCAGAAUUAUAUAAUAAGUACUUCCUUCAAAAUGUGGGUAAAACGAUAGGCACAAUGCUAAUGGUGGACGAACUUACUUCCAUGCAAUCUGGAGGAAAAUUUGCACACAUUUGUGUGGAAGUUGACCUAAGGAAAAAGUUGGUUCCUUCAUUUUCUGCAUUGGGAAAAGAAUUCAGAUUGGAGUAUGAAGGGCUCCAUCAAAUUUGUUUCCACUGUGGGAGAUAUGAACACAAAGUGGAUGGGUGCCCGAAGAUGCAUAGUGAUGCAAUGGAAAUGUGCUGUCACAGAUGGUUAUGGGUUGCCAAAACCACCAAGAGGGAGGUGGCGGAAUUGCUGACCAGAAUAAUCCCGAACAGGAAAUUUUGGCAAACCAAAACGAGAAAGAUUUUAUUGGAACAAAAUCUUUGGGAGAGAAAUUAAAGGAGGGAGUUUUUGCAAUGACAAGGGAAGAUGAUGUAAUUAAUUCUGAUGCUGUAAAUUAUGGCAAUUCCAUUAAGAUUCAGGAGAGUCCAUUUGGACCUUGGAUGGUGGGAAAAAACCCCAAAGGAGAAACAAGCAAGGAUUAGCGAAUCAUAUCGCAAAUAAUAAGGAAGGAAAUUUUUCUACCUGUUUUGAGGCUCUAAGACAGGAUAAAAAAAUCAGAAAAGUGGGGAUACCAAUGAAGAGAGGGGACAACUGAGCCUUGCUAGUCAAGAUCAAAGAAAAGAAAUUAAUGCUAGAGUAAGCCGGUUUCAAGCCAGAAAAUCAAAUGAGGACCAACAAAGCCCCACCAAGACCCAAAGUGCCAAACAACAAUACCAAAGCAAAGAAUAUUAAAACAAGCAAGAAACAAAGCUUAGCACAACCCAAGUCGGGCAGAACUUUGCAGCAACACCAAGAAGCUAACAACUCGGAUCAAGUAAUAGAUAACCAGGGAAAUAGGAUAAAAAAGGAUGACAGUCAUCAAGCUUAUUGGAAUCAAUUCCAUAGGCUUGGCAAGAAAAUUUAUAAGAAUCACUAACAAAGAAAUUUCAUCCGUACAGAUGGCUCUUUCGAUCCUCUGGCCAUCUCUCUUAUAACUAAGAUCAUGGGAGGAAGCAUCCAAGAGCACAAUAGUGGCAAGUUCGAAGAUAAACCACUUGAGCCAAAAGGUGCUACUGCUAGUCUAGAUCAUAAUAGAGGAGACAUUAAAGGUUUAAAGAUCAAAGGCCAAAUCCAUCAUUAAAGGAAUCGGUUUUGAUUUUUGGUGUAUUAGCGAAGGUUUUUCGGGAGACAUUUGGUGUUUAUAGAUGAAAGACCUUUGAAACGUCACGUCCAUCAUUGUUCACAAACAAUUCAUACAUAUGGAAGUCAAAUGAAAAAAUGACAGAACUUUGGCAUUUUACUGCGGUUUAUGGUAGUCCUACAGUGGGAAACCGGAAUAACCUUUGGAGUAAUUUGAAAGCCAUAGCAAGGAUAACUAAUGGAUCGUGAGCUUUAAGAGGGGAUUUCAGGUUUAUUUGAAUGACAAAACGGGUUGAAUCAGAAUAAGAAAUUGGGCCAAUUCAAGAAGAGGAACCCAAGAAAAUGAGAGCUAAGAAGAGGCCUAAUUGGAUGAAAGACUUUGUUAUGGGAUGAAGGAAUGGCUGUAUAUGAGAACUGAGAAGCAUAGGAUUAUAUCUCUUGUUGGCGUGGAGAGUUCAUCACGGAAAUAGUGGGAUAUAGUUGAUAAGCUCUAUUUUAUCAUUUUAAAUUGUAUUAAAAAAUAUGAAGUUUAUAAACUAUUUUGCACAAUUUCAGCUCAAUUAAUUGAGUUUUUUUUUCGAAUAUUUCUUCCAAUGUUGUUUGUAAAAAAUAUGCUUUUUUUGUUUCUAAUUAUUAAUCUAUUUAAUCUCUUU